UACGGGGGGAGCAAGCGUUGUUCGGAUUUACUGGGCGUAAAGGGCUCGUAGGCGGCCAACUAAGUCAGACGUGAAAUCCCUCAGCUUAACUGGGGAACUGCGUCUGAUACUGGAUGGCUUGGAUUCGGGAGAGGAAUGCGGAAUUCCAGGUGUAGCGGUGAAAUGCGUAGAGAUCGGAAGGAACGUCGAUGGCGAAGGCAGCCACCUGGCAUAAUACUGACGCUGAG
rnacentral:rRNA from 1 species